rnacentral:rRNA from 1 species
UUCCGUGGGGGAACCUGACAGCAAUGCCGCGUGAGUGAAGAAGGCCUUCGGGUUGUAAAGCUCUUUUGUCAGGGAAGAAACACCGGCUCUAACACAGUCCGGGAAUGACGGUACCUGAAGAAUAAGCACCGGCUAACUUCGUGCCAGCAGCCGCGGUAAGACGAAGGGUGCUAGCGUUGUUCGGAAUUACUGGGCGUAAAGCGAGUGUAGGUGGUUGUCCAAGUUGGAUGUGAAAGCCUUGAGCUCAACUCAAGAAAUGCAUUCAGGACUGGAUGGCUAGAGGACCGGAGAGGAUAGUGGAAUUCCCAGUGUAGUGGUGAAAUACGUAGAGAUUGGGAAGAACACCAGUGGCGAAGGCGGCUAUCUGGACGGUUUCUGACACUAAGACUCGAAA